UAAUUUUAUUUUUUGAUUUCAUGUUUUCAGCUGACCGUUGUCAGUGAUCAGUCAGUGUUUAUGGACUCCAGUAUCUGUGCAGCCUCUGAAGGACUGAAAAAGGUGACUCUGAAGAAGGACCGGUUACUACUGGAUGAUCAGGACUGUGUUGAGAAAAUGUCACCUGUCAAAGAGCAUGUGUUGAAUGAUGAGCAGAGCUUUUGUGCCCCCCCUGAAGGAGUUUUCACAUGUUUCGGAUGAACUGUUAUUUCAGUGCAACAGUGAAUG